CCUACGGGGGGCAGCAGUGGGGAAUAUUGGACAAUGGGGGCAACCCUGAUCCAGCCAUGCCGCGUGUGUGAAGAAGGCCCUCGGGUUGUAAAGCACUUUCAGUGAGGAAGAACGCCUGGUGGUUAAUACCCAUCAGGAAAGACAUCACUCACAGAAGAAGCACCGGCUAACUCCGUGCCAGCAGCCGCGGUAAUACGGAGGGUGCGAGCGUUAAUCGGAAUUACUGGGCGUAAAGCGCGCGUAGGUGGCUUGAUAAGCCGGUUGUGAAAGCCCCGGGCUCAACCUGGGAACGGCAUCCGGAACUGUCAAGCUAGAGUGCAGGAGAGGGAGGUAGAAUUCCCGGUGUAGCGGUGAAAUGCGUAGAGAUCGGGAGGAAUACCAGUGGCGAAGGCGGCCUUCUGGACUGACACUGACACUGAGGUGCGAAAGCGUGGGUAGCAAACAGGAUUAGAUACCCCGAGUAGUC
rnacentral:rRNA from 1 species